rnacentral:rRNA from 1 species
GAUGAACGCUGGCGGCGUGCCUAAUACAUGCAAGUCGAGCGAACAGACGAGGAGCUUGCUCCUCUGACGUUAGCGGCGGACGGGUGAGUAACAAGUGGAUAACCUACCUAUAAGACUGGGAUAACUUCGGGAAACCGGAGCUAAUACCGGAUAAUAUAUUGAACCGCAUGGUUCAAUAGUGAAAGACGGUUUUGCUGUCACUUAUAGAUGGAUCCGCGCCGCAUUAGCUAGUUGGUAAGGUAACGGCUUACCAAGGCAACGAUGCGUAGCCGACCUGAGAGGGUGAUCGGCCACACUGGAACUGAGACACGGUCCAGACUCCUACGGGAGGCAGCAGUAGGGAAUCUUCCGCAAUGGGCGAAAGCCUGACGGAGCAACGCCGCGUGAGUAAUGAAGGUCUUCGGAUCGUAAAACUCUGUUAUUAGGGAAGAACAAAUGUGUAAGUAACUAUGGACGUCUUGACGGUACCUAAUCCGAAAGCCACGGCUAACUACGUG